rnacentral:rRNA from 1 species
GACGAACGCUGGCGGCGUGCUUAACACAUGCAAGUCGAACGGAAAGGCCCUGCUUUUGUGGGGUGCUCGAGUGGCGAACGGGUGAGUAACACGUGAGUAACCUGCCCUUGACUUUGGGAUAACUUCAGGAAACUGGGGCUAAUACCGGAUAGGAGCUCCUGCUGCAUGGUGGGGGUUAGAAAGUUUCGGCGGUUGGGGAUGGACCCGCGGCUUAUCAGCUUGUUGGUGGGGUAGUGGCUUACCAAGGCUUUGACGGGUAGCCGGCCUGAGAGGGUGACCGGCCACAUUGGGACUGAGAUACGGCCCAGACUCCUACGGGAGGCAGCAGUGGGGAAUAUUGCACAAUGGGCGGAAGCCUGAUGCAGCAACGCCGCGUGCGGGAUGACGGCCUUCGGGUUGUAAACCGCUUUCGCCUGUGACGAAGCGUGAGUGACGGUAAUGGGUAAAGAAGCACCGGCUAACUACGUG